rnacentral:rRNA from 1 species
UGCGUAGGCGGUUUGGUAAGUCAGAUGUGAAAUUCCUGGGCUCAACCGAGGAACUGCAUUUGAUACUGCCAGACUAGAGUACUAGAGAGGAGACUGGAAUUUACGGUGUAGCAGUGAAAUGCGUAGAUAUCGUAAGGAAGGCCAGUGGCGAAGGCGAGUCUCUGGACAGUAACUGACGCUGAGGCACGAAGGCUAGGGGAGCAAACG